rnacentral:rRNA from 1 species
AUUGAACGCUGGCGGAAUGCUUUACACAUGCAAGUCGAGCGGCAGCGCGGGGCAACCUGGCGGCGAGCGGCGAACGGGUGAGUAAUACAUCGGAACGUACCCAGUUGUGGGGGAUAGCCCGGCGAAAGCCGGAUUAAUACCGCAUACGACCUGAGGGUGAAAGGGGGGGGAUCGCAAGACCUCUCGCAGUUGGAGCGGCCGAUGGCGGAUUAGCUAGUUGGUAGGGUAAAGGCCUACCAAGGCGACGAUCCGUAGCGGGUCUGAGAGGACGACCCGCCACACUGGAACUGAGACACGGUCCAGACUCCUACGGGAGGCAGCAGUGGGGAAUUUUGGACAAUGGGGGCAACCCUGAUCCAGCCAUUCCGCGUGAGUGAAGAAGGCCUUCGGGUUGUAAAGCUCUUUCGGCAGGAACGAAACGGUGGGCUCUAACAUAGCCUGCUAAUGACGGUACCUGAAGAAGAAGCACCGGCUAACUACGUGCCAGCCGCCGCGGUAA